rnacentral:rRNA from 1 species
GAUGAACGCUGGCGGCGUGCCUAAUACAUGCAAGUCGAGCGAACAGACGAGGAGCUUGCUCCUCUGACGUUAGCGGCGGACGGGCGAGUAACACGUGGAUAACCUACCUAUAAGACUGGGAUAACUUCGGGAAACCGGAGCUAAUACCGGAUAAUAUAUCGAACCGCAUGGUCCAAUAGUGAAAGACGGUUUUGCUGUCACUUAUAGAUGGACCCGCGCCGCAUUAGCUAGUUGGUAAGGUAACGGCUUACCAAGGCAACGAUGCGUAGCCGACCUGAGAUGGUGAUCGACCACCCUGGAAGUGGGACUCGGUCCAGACUCCUGCGGGAGGCAACGGUAGGGAAUCUGCCGCAGUGCUCGAAAACCUGACGGAGCAAUGCCGCGUGAGUGAUGAGGGUCUUCGGAUCGUAAAACUCUGUUAUCAGGGAAGAACAAAUGUGUAAGUAACUAUGCACGUCUUGACGGUACCUAAUCAGAAAGCCACGGCUGACUACGUG